CCUACGGGAGGCAGCAGUGAGGAAUAUUGGUCAAUGGGCGCGAGCCUGAACCAGCCAAGUAGCGUGAAGGAUGACUGCCCUACGGGUUGUAAACUUCUUUUAUCAAGGAAUAAAGAGAGGCACUUGUCCCUUUUUGUGUGAACUUUAUGAAUAAGGAACGGCCAACUCCGUGCCAGCAGCCGCGGUAAUACGGAGGAUGCAAGCGUUAUCCGGAUUUAUUGGGUUUAAAGGGAGCGUAGAUGGGUUGUUAAGUCAGUUGUGAAAGUCUGCGGCUCAACCGUAAAAUUGCAACUGAUACUGGCAGUCUUGAGUGCAGUUGAGGUAAGCGGAAUUCGUGGUGUAGCGGUGAAAUGCUUAGAUAUCACGAAGAACUCCGAUUGCGAAGGCAACUUACUAAACUGCCACUGACAUUGAUGCUCGAAAGUGUGGGUAUCAAACAGGAUUAGAUACCCGUGUAGUC
rnacentral:rRNA from 1 species